rnacentral:rRNA from 9 species
GACCUCAGAUCAGGCA